UGGGGUUUGGCUCAGUGGUAGAGUGCUUGCCUAGCACGUGUGAGGCACUGGGUUCGAUUCUCAGCACCACAU
rnacentral:tRNA from 1 species